UCAACCCAGAAACAGUCUUGUUAUAACUAAGUGUGGAAAUACUAUCAAUAUUUUAUAGACAAUUUUUGCAAUGACAAUUUUGGAUAGCAAACCAUUUUAUCGAACAACAAGCAAGAAAUCUUUCUGUAAUAGCUGAAAUCGAGAUAUCCAAACGGAGGUACCACUCAUUAGCUUCCAUUAAACACAAUCAUCGGGCCGAGGAGCUGGUGCUUUGAAAAGUGCAUCGGGAAAAAUGAAAUCACGUCGCGCCACUGCAACAAAUUCAAGUUAAUUGAAUUCCAAACAAAAUCCCCAUUGCAAAUGAAAAUACCCAGUUUACGCAGAGAAAAUCUGAAAAAUAUGAAAACUUCGGGUGUCUAGCAGCUGCCGCCAAACUAGUUCAACUUGUUGUAGUCGUUUUUCGCUGGCUCUGGCGUAAUAACAGGGGCCCAAAUUCAAAUCACACAAUCGCAGUGAAACGAACCUCUCUGCACAGUAAUCAAAACACUCGUGGCAAUAAAAACAACACAAAAACUGAUAUCAAAGAGUGUACGGAUGAGAGGAGGAAUGGGGCUGGCUGGGGGCUAAAAGCCAAAGGGAAACCAUAACAAAUCAAAGCACUAAUGAAUAUUGAGAGGCCACUAAAAGGAACACGCGGCAGGAGCAACAAAUUAAUAUCGAAGAAAUACCAAAAUUCACAUAAUAAUAAAUGCAGCUCGACGAGUAGAAGUAGGGCUAAUAAAGAGCCAGUUAGUACGGGAGUAAGAAGCAACUUUUCCACCAGGAUAAUGAAGAGGCUUUGUGCGGGGGAGAAAUGAGGAGAACACCUGCCUAACAACCGAAGGAUCGGAAUGAGACUGGGAUUCAGAACGAGACAGCAACUCUGGCCGAAUGAAGGAACAUUACUCCAUAAGAUGCCAUCCGAUGAAUCGCUACUGUCCUUCCUAGCUGCGACUGCGUACAUGCAAGCUCGCGGGCCGGCUGACGUAACAACAAGUUAACAAGAUAAUGACAGUAGCGGCGGCUCACCGGACGAAUCCACGGGCCAGGUCCCAGUCAUUGUGGAACGAAGUCAUCGUCUUCGUGGUCGUGGUCUUCGUCUUGGCCCCCGUCGUCCCCAUUUUCUGGCCAUGGAACGGACGUCCCGCUCUGUUAUUUAGUGUAGGUAGGUGUGGACCAACUCUGCGCGAGUGUGUGUGUGAGUGUGAGUGUGUGUGCGUGUGAGCCAGCUUUGAGUGACGGGCCGUGAGCAUAAGUGACUGAUGGCCGGCUACGUCCAGGGACCAGCCCCCUUCUUUCUUGCUUUCUUUCUUUCUGCCGGCCAAAGACCAUAAUCAAGUAUGCUAAAAAGACGCGCU